rnacentral:misc_RNA from 1 species
GGCAACAGCAAAUCGAACAAAGUAAUUUUACUUUGAAUAACGCAAACCCAUUAUCAUUACAACACUUUUUCGGAAACACUUUACUCCUUUGAAAUCUCAAUUUUUCACACAUCAAGAGUUCUUUUAUAUUUAAACCCUUUACCCAUCCACUUCAAACCAUUUGUAAUUUCAUAUUUCAUACUGAAAGCUACCGCUUUAUGAAACAAAAGGACACGACCCACUAUGAUGGUAAGAAUUUUGUGCACUUUUUGUUGUCUGAUGAAAAACAAGCGAAUACAUCCGGACCAACCACCAUAAACCCUAGCAAGCAUUUGCAAGCAGAAGUAAUCAAGCACUUUAGAAAUGUCAUUUACAGUAAAAAAGAGUUGCAGAAGAAACACAAGACACCAUUACUUUUCAACAGAGACUCCAAGACUAGUAGACUUCAAGGUCUCAAACCACGCACUCCAAUCAAUUAGCUCGAGUAACGAGGACGCAACAUUAUGAUCACAGAACACAGAAAUCAUAGCAUUUUUCAGAAUUCCUCAGUUGAAAGGCCAUCCUGAAUACCCCAUCUGGUGGUUAUUUUCAUGCACAGUUGGUGAACUGCUUCCUGUUGUCUCAUCAUGGUUCGAACUAGAACUAGACGAGCGGAAUGGCCACAAAUACGACAAUGGAUUCCGUCUUCCUUCCCUG